rnacentral:misc_RNA from 1 species
AAAAAAGUGCUUGGAAAUACCCCUGCUCAGUUCACAGGAAAAAAAAAAAAAGAAAUAUCAAUGUUGUCCUCAGGUCUUGUCUCAGCAACGGCACAAAACUUUGCAACAAGGAGCCCCCAACUGUGCAGUCACAUUCAAAUUACUAAUCCAAUUACUAAUUGCUAUCCCAAUAACUAAAACAUCCCGAGUGAUAUCUACCAGUCCAAAACAUCUUUCAAAGACUAAGCAGGCUUUUUUAAGCCGAAGGAUAAGCAGUAAUUACGACAAUACAGUGUGCUUACAGUCCCUUAUCGUAUGGGGUGUCGGACCAUGGAGAGCAUGUUUAGUUCAGACUCCAUAUGCUCAAAAUAUCAAUUCUUUAUGGUCGGAUGAAAACUUGAAUUAUAAUACAUCCGAUAGCAUGACAAACUUACCAAGCCUUGUCUAUCCCUACUUG